GUAAGAGGCUUUUUUUUAAUGGCGUCAGUUUGUUGCAGAGCGUAUUUUAGAAUACAGGCAGUAAAAGCAGCUAUAUAUUCGUGUAUUGUAUUGCUUUGAUGAGGAUUCUUCGUCCAUCACCAUGUUGGAAUUGUUGUUAAAUCCGUCACAUCAAUUUUUUAAAUUUAAAUUUGAAGAUGGUUCAUUUGAUGUUGGGCAUGAUUCAGUAUUUUCCAACCACCCUAGUGAAAAAAUGUCCUCUGAAGAGGAAUAUAUUCUCUACUGGCCAAAUGAUUCUUCAGUGUCAACUCGUAAAGUCAGCAGGAAAACAAAAUGCAGGAGAUUGGCUGCAAGAGUCAUAUGAAAAAUUGUCGUUGAAGUAGGGCAUGCCUCGACAUGCCAUGACAUGCCUAUCCCAGCCUGGCUCCGGAGCAGCUAUUAAUCAUCUCUAAUCCUACAUCACACACAAAAAAAAUCAAAUCAAAUUUGUUAAAAUUAUUUAGGUACCUUAUACCGGCUGUUUACCUUCAAAUGCUAAUAAUUUUGUCGCCCAAGUACCAUUUCCCUUAACAUUCCAAUUUAUUAUGUUCUGUUUCCAAAACGUUUCCCAAUGUCAGUUGUUAAAAAGUUUGUUUUCAAGGUGUUCUAUACGGUGAUGGGAAAAAAUGUAUCUCCCCCCUUAUUCCACGGGGAAUUCCUUUGAAAUACAAAGUGGUCUAUUGGUUAAAAAAUA
rnacentral:lncRNA from 1 species